GUUUACGGCCAUACCACCCUGUCUGCCCCCGAUCUCAUCAGAUCUCGGAAGCUAAGCAGGGUCGGACCUGGCUAGUACUUGGAUGGUAGACUGCCUGGGAAUACCAGGUGCUGUAAGNN
rnacentral:rRNA from 1 species